rnacentral:rRNA from 1 species
GAUGAACGCUGGCGGCGUGCUUAACACAUGCAAGUCGAACGGAAAGGCUCCUGCUUGCUGGGGUACUCGAGUGGCGAACGGGUGAGUAACACGUGGGUGAUCUGCCCUGCACUUCGGGAUAAGCCUGGGAAACUGGGUCUAAUACCGGAUAGGACGAUGGUUUGGAUGCCAUUGUGGAAAGUUUUUCGGUGUGGGAUGAGCUCGCGGCCUAUCAGCUUGUUGGUGGGGUAAUGGCCUACCAAGGCGUCGACGGGUAGCCGGCCUGAGAGGGUGGACGGCCACAUUGGGACUGAGAUACGGCCCAGACUCCUACGGGAGGCAGCAGUGGGGAAUAUUGCACAAUGGGCGCAAGCCUGAUGCAGCGACGCCGCGUGGGGGAUGACGGCCUUCGGGUUGUAAACUCCUUUCGCUAGGGACGAAGCGCAAGUGACGGUACCUGGAGAAGAAGCACCGGCUAACUACGUG